rnacentral:rRNA from 1 species
UCCGGUGGCUAGAUCGGAGAGGCUCCACCCGUUCCCAUCCCGAACACGGAAGUUAAGCUCUCCAGAGCCGAUGGUACUGCAUGGUUUCCAUGUGGGAGAGUAGGUCGCUGCCGGAA